ACCGCAGGGAAAAUGAGGGACUUUUAGGGGCAGAUGUGUUUCCAUUACACUAUCAUAAUGCCCCUAAAAAUCCUUAUUGCUCUUGCAGUAUUC
rnacentral:pre_miRNA from 14 species